AAUAUAUACUACAUAAAGACGGAUUGAUUUGAGCGUGAUCAUCACUUUACUAUAGUUAUAAGUUGUAACAAAAAAAAAAAAAACCAUCAGAAUUUGUUCACUUAAUAUAGUAAUACUACUAAUUUUGAGUUGUAAGUUAUUGGAACAAUAUUGGAAUUUGAUGGCAUCUUCGAAGAGGACAUCUCAUGUUCCUAGUACUAGUACUAAGAGAAUCAAACAUGGCAACCCAGAACAAGAAGAGAUCCAACAAUACCCUUUAUUUCCCACUACUUUGAGUCGUAGUGCCACCAAUGACAACAACAUCAUUGCCUUUUGCAUUGAACACUCAUUUCGAAAAGUGAUUCGAGAUGUGGUUCCACCAAUGCUCGACCGCUACCUAGCCCCAAGUCGUGGAUUGACCCUUAACAGGCGGGUCAACCCAUUUGGAACAAGAGGUUUGCAAUUGUGCUUCAAGAACAAUUUGCCUAAAAAAAAUUACACACAAUCCAAAAUCAAAGCUGAGGGAGGUGAACCACUUCGAAUUGAACUGCACGAUGCUGGAAAUCUGCACAUAGUGAGGGAUGGGGGUUCAUCGAUGAAGAUCCGAAUUUGUGUCCUACAAGGUGACUUUGGAAAAGAAGAUUGGACUGCUAAGGAAUUUGAUAAGCAAAUUGUAAUUCCAAGAGAGGGAAAAGGACCACUGCUGAAAGAAGAUAAAGUCAUUACACUAAAAGAUGGAGUUGCUUUCAUCAACAAUCUAGAGUUUACUGAUAUAUCUAAGAGAAGAACCGAAGAAUUUCGGUUAGGGGCUAAAAUAGUCCGAUCUAAUUCAAUUGGAUAUGAUAUUAGGGAAGGCAGAAGCGAACCUUUUAGAGUCCUGGAUGUUCGAGGAAAGGCUUACAAGAAACACGAUCGUCCAUCAAUGAAUGAUGAGGUAUGGCGCCUGAGAGGAAUACGUAAAGAUGGUAAACUUCACACGGAGUUGGCCUCACACGGAAUAAAAUGUGUUAAGGAUUUUUUGCAGUUGUACAAAACCAAUGAAGCUUCAUUAAGAGAGAAAAUAGGAAAGAUUGCAGAGAAGUCAUGGAAGAAAAUUAUUGCACAUGUCAAAGAGUGUGAUGUAGAUGAUGAUGAGGAGGAGGAAAGAGUUAAGCAACAUGCUUACAAAAAUUUGAAUGAUCUGAAACAAAUGCCAAUUGAUACUACAACAGCACAUGGUUUGGUGGAGACAUGUAUACAAACUGCACAAUGUCAAUAUGGUGGCCAUGAUCAACUGCAACAAUUUCACUUUUCAAUUCCUCCGCAAGACUUACUGAAUACUGAUCCUACAAGCUUUAACUCAUGCCAACCUGAAAUGGCACCAUACUUGUAUGAAGAGGGGAAUAUAUUAUCUGGAUUUGAUGGAGUAUCACAAACUGGUCAAUUUGAAAGAAGUAACUCAUUGGAACAAUUAUAUGCCUUUUUUAAUAGUGAUGGAGCAGGACCUAGCAACCAUUCCUCUUCACCCAACAUUGCUGUGCAUACAUCAAGCAAAGUGAAACUGAAAAAAGAUUGGCAAAUGAUUCGAUUUGCUCUCAAAUUCAUGCUGUAUGUGACUAGAAAAAAGGAACAAAUUUUGGUCAUAUAUACCAAUACUCCCUGAUCUAUAAUGAAACAUUAAGACCCUAGGGAAUAACAGAACUAGUGUCACAUCUACAUACAACAUUUCAAACAGCAUGAACAAAACUAAUGCAUUUUAUACUCAACAAUUAUUUCAAACAUUAAAUUCAAUUUACAUGUAAGUGUCAAUUAUUUUACUGCCAUGUACUUGUACUUUCCCUAAUGCAUAUUUCUGAUGUUGCUUAUUUGAAGAUUACUAGUGUGUUGAACCCAUGCUAUAUGCUAUGUAAAAUGAAGUUGAUUAAUUUUGUUGUUGAUUUGUACUAGUGACAAGAAUGCAUUUUCUAAUGCUACUCUUUUCAAAAUGUAUUUGUUGUAUUGUUUAAAAAAUAAAAUUUGUCUGUGUGUUUUAACAUUUGCUUAUUUGUCGGUGGUUCUGCCUUGAUCUAGUUGUAAAAAAAUAGAUCUUAAAUUUGAGAGAGCUAAGUUAAAGUCUCAUCAGUACCUUUAAAGAUAAGUAAACAUAAACAUUCAUACACUGGUUGGUUUUUGAAUCCUAAAAUCUUGUCUACCUUGGACUAGAGAAUCAUCCAAUCAAAAUGAAUUGAGUUUAAAAACAACAAAUUGUGUUGAAACUUGAAUGGUGAAAAAGUAAAGAAACAAAAGGAGGUGUGAAUAAUAAAUAUUUAUUUUAGGUUGAUUAGAAAAAUAUAAUGCAUAUGUCUAUAUUGGGCUUUUGGCCCAGUAAACAUUGUUUGUUCCUGACUUUAUUAUCUCUCAGAGUGUGUUUCGUUUCGUUUCUGAGAUUAGUUUUGUUCACUGAAAAUGCCAGCUGCAAAAUUCGACCUAGGAGCCGUUCCGUUCAACCCCGACGGAUGGGGCCCACUUGAUUCCACCGGCGACAACACCAACGUCCCUUUCGCUCCCUUCUCCCGUUCCGACAAAUUAGGUCGAAUCGCCGAUUGGACUCGCAAUUUCAACCCUACCCGAUCCAAAAACCCAGCCGAUUCCGCCUUCGAUUUCACCUCCGACGCUUCUUUCCCUGCCUUCGCCGACGACGACUCCUCUUUCCGUCUCGUCGACGGUAAACCCCCACCGCGUCCCAAAUUCGGUCCCAAAUGGCGCUUCCAACGCCAACUUCAGCUCCCUCAGCGCCGCGACGAAGAAGUCGAAGCUAGAAAACGUGAACAAGAGAAAGAAAGAGCUCGUCGCGAUCGCCAUUAUCAGAAUCGUUCAAACCCUAGUAACCAUCGCCGUGAACUUUUCAAAUCAUCGGUUGAUAUUCAACCGGAAUGGAAUAUGCACGAGCAGAUCCCAUUCUCCACUUUCACAAAACUCUCAUUCUCCGUCUCUGAACCCGAAGAUCUUCUCCUCUGUGGCGCUCUCGAGGGUUACGAUCGAACCUACGAUCGAAUUGCUCCCAAAAGUGAACGCCGUCUUGAGAGAUUCAAGAAUCGGAAUUUCUUCAAAGUUACCACCACUGAUGACCCUGUUAUUCGUAGACUCGCUAAUGAAGAUAAAGCUACGGUUUUUGCUACCGAUGCUAUUCUUGCCACUCUUAUGUGUGCUCCUAGGUCUGUUUACUCAUGGGAUAUUGUUGUUCAGCGUGUUGGGAAUAAGCUUUUCUUUGAUAAGCGUGAUGGGUCGCAGUUGGAUUUGCUUUCUGUUCAUGAAACUUCUCAGGAGCCAUUGCCUGAAGCUAAAGAUGAUAUUAACUCGGCUCAUUCUCUUAGUGUUGAGGCCUCUUAUAUUAAUCAGAAUUUCUCUCAGCAGGUUUUGAUUAGGGAUGGGAAAAAGGAGACUUUUGAAGAGCCUAAUCCUUUUGCUAAUGAGGGUGAAGAAGUUGCUUCUGUUGGUUAUAGGUAUAGGAGAUGGAAGCUUGAUAAUGAUAUGUAUCUUGUUGCUAGGUGUGAGGUUCAUAGUGUUGUUGAGCUUAAUAACCAGAGGUCUUUCCUUACUUUGAAUGCUUUGAAUGAGUUUGAUCCUAAGUAUACUGGUGUUGAUUGGAGGCAGAAGUUGGAGACACAAAGAGGUGCUGUUUUGGCUACUGAACUUAAGAAUAAUGCUAAUAAGUUGGCUAAAUGGACUGCACAAGCUCUUUUGGCAAGUGCUGAUAUGAUGAAAUUGGGAUAUGUUUCUCGGAUUCAUCCUCGUGAUCAUUUUAAUCAUGUGAUCUUGGGUGUGGUUGGAUAUAAACCUAAGGAUUUUGCUGCACAAAUUAAUUUGAAUCCUAGUAAUAUGUGGGGGAUUGUGAAGUCUAUUGUGGACUUGUGCAUGAAAUUGAAUGAGGGGAAAUAUGUUCUUGUGAAGGAUCCAACUAAGCCUCAGGUUAGGAUUUAUGAGGUUCCAGGUGAUGCAUUUGAGAACGACUAUGUGGAGGAACCAAUACCUGAAGAGGAGCAAGUUCAACCACAAUCAGAGGGUGCUGAUGAUGCUGAUGGUGUAGAUGCUGCUGCUUCUGGUACCAAUGAUGGGGAAGAUAAGAAGAUUGAGGGUCAAGCUUAAAAGGUCACCUGUUUUGGGGAUUGAAGACCAUUCAGUACAAGAACUACUCUCAUAAUCAUUUUACUUAUCCACUUCUAUUUAAAGGACACAAUUUUGCAAAUCCAAAUUGUCUUAUGGCAUAUACUUUCUUGAGUUUUGUGAUGCAACAAUUUUUUUUUUUUGGGGUUGUUUCUUAACCAUGCUACAACUGUUUAUGCUCUAUAAAUCUGAGCAUGUUUAGGUGGAAUCAGGACUUACAAAAAUUAUGUCAUGAAUGUUGAUCAUCUUAGCAUUGUGCUUAGGUUUGUUAGCUAAAUCCUUGAGUUUAUGAGUAUUAAUAUUACCUUGUAGUUCACUUA